UCCUCCUACAAAGGCGUGUCUGUGGUUCCCUGUCCUUGGACACGUAAGAAUUGGAGGGAAAGAGAUGUGGACUUGGAGAAGUCUGGAGCCAGCUUGCUCCCUGCAGGCUCGAGAUCACCCUUCCCACAUUG
ensembl:snoRNA